GUGGGGAAUCUUGCGCAAUGGGCGAAAGCCUGACGCAGCCAUACCGCGUGAAUGAUGAAGGUCUUAGGAUUGUAAAAUUCUUUCACCAGGGACGAUAAUGACGGUACCCGGAGAAGAAGCUCCGGCUAACUUCGUGCCAGCAGCCGCGGUAAUACGAAGGGGGCUAGCGUUGCUCGGAAUUACUGGACGUAAAGGGCGCGUAGGCGGACAGCUUAGUCAGAGGUGAAAGCCCAGGGCUCAACCUUGGAAUUGCCUUUGAUACUGGCUGUCUUGAGUUUGGGAGAGGUGAGUGGAACUCCGAGUGUAGAGGUGAAAUUCGUAGAUAUUCGGAAGAACACCAGUGGCGAAGGCGACUCACUGGCCCAAUACUGACGCUGAGGCGCGAAAGCGUGGGGAGCAAACAGGAUUAGAAACCCCGGUAGUCC
rnacentral:rRNA from 1 species